UGGUUUCCGGAUAAUAACUCAAGAACGCUUAGGCCUAGGAUCAUGAAACUUCAUAGGUACAUUGAUCAUGACUGACAGAUGACCCCUAUUGAUUUUCAGGUCAUUAGGUCAAAGGUCAAGGUCACAGUGACUCGAAAUAGUAAAAUGGUUUCCGGAUAAUAACUCAAGAACGCUUAGGCCUAGGAUCAUGAAACUUCAUAGGUACAUUGAUCAUGACUGGCAGAUGACCCCUAUUGAUUUUCAGGUCACUAGGUCAAAGGUCAAGGUCACGGUGACCCAAAAUAGUAAAAUGGUUUCCGGAUGAUAACUGAAGAAUGCUUAUGCCUAUGAUCAUGAAACUUCAUAGGUACAUUGAUCAUGACUGGCAGAUAACCCCUAUUGAUUUUCAGGUCAUUAGGUCAAAGGUCAAGGUCACGGUGACCCGAAAUAGUAAAAUGGUUUCCCGAUGAUAACUCAAGAACGCUUAUGGCUAGGAUCAUGAAACUUCAUAGGUACAUUGAUCAUGAUUCGAAGAUGACCCCUAUUGAUUUUCAGGUCACUAAGUCAAAGGUCACGGUCACUGUGACAAAAAACAUAUUCACACAAUGGCUGUCACUACAACUGAGAGCCCAUAUGGGGGGCAUGCGUGUUUUACAAACAGCCCUUGUUCAUUUAGAAACACGCUAUUUAUAGCUUCAAAUUGUAAAUUAAUAUGUUGUUUUUUGCAUAACGGUACAUCAUUGAGGUUGUAAGGACUUUGUAUUUGUGUUUAUUAUUUUCGCUUUUUGUCACAUGGCCAAUACAUGAUUCAUAGGA